rnacentral:lncRNA from 1 species
CUGACUCCUUUCCUGAAGUGGACAUCUCCCCAGAGUGGGACCUGGAUGUUGAGUCCCACAUCAACAUUAAAUCAGUGACUAAACAUGCUUUGGUACCUAUGCCCAUCUAGUCCCCACACUGUCAGCUCACUGUCAAACCAUAACAGACACCGAUGUCACAAGGGCUGGAAUAGGCACUGUCAUGGUGACGUCAGGAUGCUUGCCAUGCCAGGAGUGCCCUUUCUGCAGGUGCUGUGACUCCAGAAUACCCUGCAUCCAGUUUGCGAGAAACACACCCAGAGCUCCUGCUGCGCACAGCCCUAGCUCUGCCACUUAUGCUGCAGUGGGAAAUUCUGUGAGCAGAGUUUUACUGGACUCCUCAGAAGCUACACCCAUGUUAGUAAUCUUCACAGGUCCAGGACAUGAUUCAAUUUUUGUUAAGCUCUUGUCCAUGAUGAGUGAACAAAGUGCUUUGUGGAUACAAUAAAAGCUGUGGUGGAAAAAAGCAUUUACAGAUAUUCCAUAAACUCUCCUGACCAUGCAAGGCCUAUUUUACUUACUGUUUCAGGCUCAUGUUAUUUACAAAUAGAGCACAGCAAUGUUUGUGGUGUAGGCUCAUUACCUGGUCCAACUCUGCUGAUGCUCUCUUUGCCCUGGCAUUGCAGGGGCAGAUUGGGAAACAGUACUGCUCAAGAGCUGUACUGUUUGUGCCCCCAGUCGCACUGUCAAACCUCUCCCAGAGCCAUAAAUCCUGAGGUGCCAUCAAUACAUGUACUUCCAGUGCAAGACCAAGGUGGGUUUUAGGGUGUUUUGUCUUCAUACACUCAAACCUGG